rnacentral:RNase_P_RNA from 1 species
GGUAAGGGUGGAAAGGUGAGGUAAGAGCUCACCAGCAGUCUGGUAACAGGCUGGCUCGGUAAACCCCAUCCGGAGCAAGACCGAAUAGGGAAGGGUUAACGGUGGUCCCGCCUACCUUCCGGGUUGUGUCGCUCGAGCGUGCAGGCGACUGUACGCCUAGAAAGAUAAUCGUCACCGCGCAAGCGGAACAGAACUCGGCUUAAUGAUUGCUUGCUUCU